GAUGAACGCUGGCGGCGUGCUUAAUACAUGCAAGUCGAGCGAACGGACGAGAAUCUUGUUUCUCUGAUGUUAGCGGCGCACGGGUGUGUCACACGUGUAUACUCUACCUAUAUUACUGGGAUAACUUCGGGAAACCGGCUCUAAUACCGUAUAAUAUUUUGAACCGCAUGGUUCAAAUGUGAAAGACGGUCUUGCUGUCACUUAUAGAUGGAUCCGCGCUGCUUUAGCUAGUUGGUAAGGUAACGGCUUAACAAGGCAACGAUGCAUAGACGACCAGAGAGGGUGAUCGGCCGCACUGGAACUGAGACACGGUCCAGACUCCUACGGGAGGCAGCAGUAGGGCAUCUGCCGCAAAGGGCGAAAGCCUGACGGAGCAACGCCGCGUCAGUGAUGGAGGUCUUCGGAUCGUAAAACUCUGUUAUUAGGGAAGACCAGAUGUGGAAGUAACUGUGCACAUCGUGACGGUACCGAAUCAGAAAGCCACGGCUAACUACGUG
rnacentral:rRNA from 1 species